rnacentral:rRNA from 1 species
UACAGAGGGUGCAAGCGUUGUUCGGAAUUAUUGGGCGUAAAGCGCGUGUAGGCGGGAUGGCAAGUCGGGUGUGAAAGCCCUCAGCUCAACUGAGGAAGUGCGCCCGAAACUACCGUUCUUGAGUGUCGGAGAGGGUGGCGGAAUUCCCGGUGUAGAGGUGAAAUUCGUAGAUAUCGGGAGGAACACCAGUGGCGAAGGCGGCCACCUGGACGAACACUGACGCUGAGACGCGAAAGCGUGGGGAGCAAACAGGAUUAGAUACCCUGGUAGUCCACGCCGUAAACGAUGAUAGCUAGCUGUUGCGGGUGUUGACCCCUGCAGUGGCGCAGCCAACGCAUUAAGCUAUCCGCCUGGGAAGUACGGCCGCAAGGCUAAA